UGCAAAUUGACACCCCCCCCCGAGCCAGCGGUGGAGGAGGGGGAGGGUUACGCCCCCCCAAAGUGACGGCAAGUACGCCCACCCGCCCGCUUCACACGCCCCCGCGCGAUCACUUUCGCCCAGGGACCCCCCAGCUCGCCUUCACUCGGGUUACUCUGACCCACUCCUACGAACGCAUGUCCUCCUUCCCUCCCCUCAAAAAAAUUAUUCUUUUUAUGUUUUUGAACUACCAUAGGGGGGUUUCAGGGGACGUGCAAAAUAAAGUGGGUUCCAAAAAAAGGGGGAGGGAAUUGGAGCCCCUUCUGUUUUUGUAAACGCCCCUCUUCCCGCAGGGCGAAAAAGCCGCCCCCUUCAAAAAAAAAUAUAUGAUGAAGGCUCUUCUCUGCUGAGUAUUUAAAUAAGCCAUAACCAGGGGACUUUAGUUAAAAAGGAAAAAUUGUUUGCAGCCCCAUCCUGGGAUUGGUUGGUUUCAGAAGUAAGGCGCAAUCCUAAACACGCUUUACUCCCAUUUAGUUUAGAGAGGUUUGCAGCACGGUCCUGACCGUGCUUACUCAGAAGUAAAUGCUAUGGAAUUAAAUGGGAUUUUACUCCCUUGUCUGUAAGGGUUAAGCUUGCAGCCCUGCUUCCCAGUAAAGGGAGGGGCUUUUGUUCUGCAAGUCCCACUAUGGCUUUCAGUGGGACUUACUCCGAGCUAAGUUUGCAUAGGAUAGGUGCUUGGCAGCCGGAUCAUCUGCAUGUUUCUACAAGACUUGAAGUCUCAAUGUGAGGCUUCCUUGCCAAGUACAUGUGCUCUGAAUUGCAGACAUAAUCCCGCAAUUUAUCUGGCAGUACUGUACUUAUACCUGAAACUCUCAAGCACAUUCCCCAACAUGUUACUCACUUCACAGGGAAAGGUGGUAGGGACACAGUCUGCUGGCAUUUGUGCAUCUUGCAUGUACAUUAGAAUCAAUAAAAUAUAUCCAACUUUUUACUUCUAGAGACUUGUGGGAGUGGGCUAGAAUAAUUCUGCUGCAGGGUAUGUGUUGGAAACCAGAUUUUUAAAAGACAUUCCCCAAAGUCAAAACGGGCAAAGUUUUACAGGUGACAGAUACAAGAACAUGAGAUUCUUCCUAGAGCAUGCACAAGUGUUGUCUCCCUCUCCUUGCUUUCCAAACUAGCAUAAAAAAUAAUUAUUUCUUCCCUUGCUUUGAUUUAUCUCUUCAGACACCAAACACACAAGGCUGCUUGUGUGUUUGGUGCAAGCAACUGCCUCCUGCCACACCAUUGAUUAUUGAGAGGUGCCCCAACUUUAAACCUCCAGCACCUAUGAUUUUAAUCGGAUUUCCUCAGCUUUCUUGCUUCCGUUACAGUGGUUAUGGGGAACCUGUGGCCCUCCAGAUGUUGCUAAACUACAACUCCCAUCAGCCUCAGCACGCAGAAAGCCGCUAAGGAUGUGGCCAGCUAUAAUACACAUGGAUUCACUCCAUUCCAAAACUAAUUUCUGGUUAGGUGAGCUGGCUCACACAGGCCCUUGGAAUUCGAUUGCUCUUUAUUGUGUGCGCUGUUUCACUCGCUGCUGUUUGCAUUCCCAUGUAGGUCCUCUGAGCCGCCUCAUUUAAAUGGCUCUCACUGAAGAUUCAGGCCUAAAGAUGAGCCUCGCUGCUAUUUAGAGCUAAAUUGUAUACAUUUACUCCUCCAGAUUACAUUUCGGAGUUUUUCUACUUUGUCACAGGUUUACUUUGGUGUGUCAACAGGUUGUUGUCACACAAUAAUCUCUUUUCUUCUUCUUCUUUUGCCUAUUACGCAGGGAGAACACUGAAGCCACAAAGAUUUAUUGGUAUUUUUGCCACGUGUGAAAUUGCAGCACAGUGUCCAAGACAAAUAGUGAAACAGUUUUCCAACUGGCAAAAGAAAGCAAACAUGGUAUCCUAGCUUAUCAUGCUCCAGGUGUAACAUUUUGCUGAAUAAUGAUGGCAGGAAUUAGCUGACUAUGCAUUUACUUCAUUUUGGCAGUGGGCUUGUUCUAGCCUUGUCUUUUCAACCCAUCUCUGAAAUAUUCGGGGUGAGGAGUGCCCACUGAGACCCAAGGUUGUACAGGCUCUUAGGCCAUGACUGUAUAUUUUAACUUUUACUUUCUAUGGAAGAAGGGCUGCUACUUAAAACAUUAUUUCUAUAGUGCCCAAUGUGUCUUUAAACCAUUUCUACAACACUCUGGAAGUCAUGUCUGUCUUCACCUGGAGAGUAAAGUGAAAAAGUACUCAACGCUUUUAGAGCCUGUUAAGAGCUGGGGAGGUAUCACAGCUUAACAGAGCACAUGCUGUGCAUGCAAAUAGGUUCGAUUUCUGACAUAUAUAUUUCGGUCCUAGGUGAUGUGAAUGUUUGCAUUUCUGGAGACAAUAUUGGGCUAGAUGGACAAAUAUUCAUAAAAGGCAUGAGGUAUAAACUCAAAUGAAAAUACCGGUAGGUUCUGGGCAGGGCACUGAGUCUAAAUGUUUGGAAUUAUGGUCAUGAAAUUAUGUUUAAUUGCUUUUUUUUAUGUUUGAAAACCUGGCUAGACAGAAUAAAGUACUUUUUCAAUGCAGCCCAUAGUUAAAUGCUGGAACUUGCUCCCGCAAUAAGUGGUGAUGGGUGCAAACUUGGGUAGCUUUAAAAGAGGAUAAGACAAACUAAGGAGGAGGGGGAUGUCUAUGUUCUAUCUCUGCUGUCAGAGGCAGAAUGCCACUCAAUGCUAGUUGCUGGAAAUCACAAGUAGAGAGAGUGCAGUUGGGAUCAGGUCCAGUUUGCAGGCUUUACAUAGGCAUUGGAUUGGCCACUGUGAGAAUAGGUUGCUAGACCACAUGGACCAGUUGACUGAUCCAGGAGGCUCAUCUUACAUUUUUUGUUUGCUUAUUUUUAAUGUUGGUAGGUCAGCUGGUAGAGCAUGAGUUGUGGGUUCGAGCCCCAUGUUGGGCAAAAGGAUUCCUGCCUUGCAGGGGGUUGGACUAGAUGACCCUUGUUGUCCCUUCCAACUCUCAGUUCUUUGAUUCUAUGAUCUGCCCCACACCCCUCGGUAUCAAAGCUCUCUACAGAGCUUGCAGUUUAGAACAAUAACAUGUUGGGAUUUGAUUUUUUUUAAAAAAGUGAUGCUUUAUGUUGUGAACUUUAUCUGGAAAAUGCCUUCUAAAUAUUUUUUACAAAAUUAAAAAGUGGGCGCACAAAUAUUCUACAAAUAUUUUUAAUAAUUAAAUUUAUUCAUUUAAUUUGUGUGCUUUGAAUCUAGAAACGGUUUCAAGUUCAAACAUAAAACUUUUGCAUCAGUGGUAUUUGUCCUUGACUGAUAAACAUGCAUACACUCAAGCUGUUAGUUAGCUAUAAGAGUUCAGUGAUAUUUACUCCUUGCAGCCAAUUAAGAUCAGACUUGUUUCACAUUUGGUGGAACUUUCUUGUUUUAAAGGUAUUGAUUAGUAAUAAUCCAUACUGAAUACAAAAUGGCAGAGGAUUAUAUCCAAUUCUAUGUCCAAUCAGAGGAGACCCAUUGAAGUGAAUGGCCAUGACUACCAAGUUCAUUCAUUUCAAUGGGUCUGUUCUGAGUAGAAUUUAGUUGGAUACUGUGCUAUGUAUACAGAGUAUAUAUGUUUGUCUAUGAUUGCUGCUAAAGAUGAGAGUUCAGGAAGUGUUUUUUUUUUAAUCUAGUUGCCAAGUGGUGGAAUAGCCAGAGACAAAGCUUUGGCAAUGUAUCUAUUUUACAGCUGCAAUGAUUUUCUGGGCCAGGCCCUGGACAUAAUCACUAGCUCUUAAAAAGCAGUAGAAGAGGAUGCAGCAGUUUGGGAAACAACGGCAGUGGAAAAGCCAAUCAACUCAUAGGAAGGAAAUGGAUCAGUGGAGGAAUUUUGGAAAAGUUUACAAUGAUUUAUAUCAGGUGUGAGGGGGAACCUUUGGUCCUCCUGAUGUUGCCAAAUACAACUCCCAUGAGCCUCAGCAAGCAUAGCCCAUGACCAGGGGGAUGGGAGUUGUAGUUCAGCAACAUCGGCCAAAGUUUUCCCACAUCUGAUACGUAUAUUGCUGUUGCUAUGUGUGGUACUGUACAAAAUACAAGAGGGCAAGGUCCCUGUCGUGAGAUAAUAGCAAUCUAUCAAUCAACAUGGGAGAAACAGGAAAAUGAGAAGAAAUGGAAACAGGGGUGAAGGUGUAUGGUCCAGGUUAGGGAAUCUGCAGUCCUCCAGCUGUUUUGUUGUACUACAACUCCCAUCAUCCUUGACCACUGACCCUGCUGGUUGGGGCUGAUGGGAGCUGGAGUCCAACAGUGGCUGGGGGAUCACAGCAGCACCCCCCCUUGCACACACUGAGGAAGAGGACUGCAGCCUUAGGCUUCUUUAUGGCAGGGUAUGGGAACUUGGGGAUUGUGCUAAAGGGUUCACAAAAUAAUGAUCAUGCUCGUUAUUUUUUUUAUCACACUGGAAGGGCAGUGUUGUUCUUGGGCCGUAUUAUGUUUUGCUGAUUUAUAGGCUUAGUAGUUGAUGCUGUAGCUUUUCUGCAUUAAUAAUAAAGUACAAAGAGUCAGACUUUUGCGGGGAAUGCUCCCCCCCCCCCGUUUUUUUGCAGAAACAGAAAUGUAUUUGCUUUCCAACACUUUUGAAAUGUUAAAUAUUUUCAUUUUUGAAUAUUUAUUGUUUGUAUUUGCAUUUGUAUGCUCUCAUGAAUGCCGUAGCUGAGAUUCCUGCAUAGGAGGGAGUUGGACUAGAUGACCCUCAGGGGUCCCUUCCAACCCUACAAUUCUAUGGGUUUUUUUUGCAAAUAUACAUUUUCAGGUAUCAUAGGCUACAUGCAUUUUCAGACAUGCACCACUACCCCCUGCUGGCCAAAUUAUCCUCUUCUGACAAGCCUUACACAAACACACACACACACGUACGUUCAUAAUGUAUACAUAUUAUUAAUGUAUACCUUGCCUUUCUACUGUUUAGGUGUUUAGGGUGACUUCCAAACUUAAUUUGAAACUGGUAUCAAUCUUAGUCGGGCAGGCAAGUGAACCUUCGUACUGCCCUAGAACAAAGGAACAAAUUCCCUUAAGUCCAUGCCAAACGGAUCAGACCCACUGAGACUUUCUUCUGGUGCAUAGUGCUUGUGCCACCUCAGUGUUAGUAGCAGGGCAAAGGCGUAAGACGUCCUUUCUGGAAGCACCCACCCUACGGAGCAGUUUUGGAGCAGAGCACAUACAAACAUCUGGGUUGGAUUAAUUGGGCAGUGAUUAGAGGCCCAGCUUGGCUGCUGCCACUCAUGUCUUUCUUCAGACAACUGUCUUGAUGUCAGGUAUUUAUUUACAUAUUGCACUUAUAUUCCACCUUUCUUCGCAAGGAGCUCGAAAUGGCAUACAUGGUUCUCCCAUCCUCAUUUAAUCCAUACAGCAACCUUGUGAGGUAGGUUCGGCUGAGAGGCAGAGACUGACCCAAGGUCAUGGCCGAGUGGGGAUUUGAACCCUGGUCUCCCAGGUCCUAGCACAGGGGUCGGCAAGGUUUACUGGCCACGGGCCGGAUCACUCCCAUGGAGAUCGUCUGUGGGCUGGACUGGCGCAGUGCGAUGCUGGAGAGCCAGUGUGGUGUAGUGGUUAAGAGCAGUGGACUUGUAAUCUGGUGAACUGGGUUCGCUUCCUCGCUCCUCCACAUGCAGCUGCUGGGUGACCUUGGGCUAAUCACACUUCUCUGAAGUCUCUCAGCCUCACUCUCCUCACAGAGUGUUUGUUGUGAGGGAGGAAGGGAAAAGGAGAUUGUUAGCUGCUUUGAGACUCCUUAGGGUAGUGAUAAAGCAGGAUAUCAAAUCCAAAAAAUCGCGUCUGUGCAUGUCUGCAGCACUGGAAAUUGCUUCUGCGCAUGCCCGGAUGCCAAAAAUUGCGCCUGCGCAGAAGUGGUUUUCGGCGUCUGGACAUGCGCAGACGCGAUUUCCGGUAUCUGGACUCGCCAAGCGAGCGGCUCGGUUCGGGGACGGCUCGUGGGCCGGUAAAACAGUCUUCGUGGGCCGCAUCCAGCCCACGGACUGCACGUUGCUGACCCCUGUCCUAGUCUGACACUCCGACCAUUACACCACACUGGCUCUGCUAUUGCCCUCUUCCUUCCCCAAUGCCAGUGACAGUUCUAUCUCUGUUCUGUUUGUGCACAAUACCAGGAAGCUUGGUUUUGCUUCGUUUAUCCCUUUCCAUGGGCUUCAUUUGGAUCUUCUGGUACUCUGUUGCACCUGUUAUAUUAAAUGCCAGUACUGAAAAUGCCAGUUCUAGCACCGCAUCACAAAUGCACAGCAGCAGCCUUUUCCCUACCAGUUUCUCCCGAGUUCACCCAGACGCUACUUAAUCAACUUACAGAUGUAAACUGGUUUAAAAACUGGAUACUCUUGGGGAAUCCUGUGGAUUGCAUGCAGGAGGGAGCCUGAGGUUCUUAGGAAUUUAAUGGGACAUAAGUUACUUGCUGCUAAGUUGUUCUUUUGAUUUCAAUGGAACCGAAAGAAAGAGAGAAAAGAUUCAGUGGAACUGUAGUUUGUUAAGAGUGCUAGAAGCUGUGGCUUUGGGAGUGGUAAACUACAGUUCCCAGGAUUAUUAGGAGGGUCCUUUAAAUGUAUGACAUGUACACAGUCUAUAUCUCUGGAUUUGGCCCUAAGAGGCUUUCAGCUUGAAGUGCAGCACAAUUUUUAAUCAGGAAAGGCUAGCCACGCUCAUUUUUGCAACAAAGCAAGUAACCAUUGUAAGUUGGCCUGUAGUUUUUGAAGCUUAAAAAUAGGAAGUUCAAGGAGAAGUGAAUUUGAAUCAGCUUCAACAGCCUGGAGUAACCUUCCACCCCAUUGUAACCAUUUUGGUCACUGACCUUAGCUUUGAAAUAACUAUUUUCCCUGCCCUCCCUUCCUCCGUCAUUCUUCUUUUCCUCUUCUUCUUCUCUUUGUGCUUAACAGAGUUUCCAUAAUGGACAGGUUCUGCAAAUAGUGCCCCCUUCCUCUGCGGAUGUAAAUAUAAGUUUUGAGCUAUGGGGGGGGGUGUGGAUAACACAUGUAGCACUGACUGCGUCUUUAACUUGAUAAGCACUCUGGGGAGGGGGUGGGAAGGGAGAAUCAAUUUCUGUUCCUAAGGUUAUUUUGUGGUGGGUGGGUAUGAGAGAGGCGCUCUCACAGAGCAACUGAGCGACAGCUUGAAACCGCACUAUUCCUUGAUCUCAGGGAAAAGAACAAGACAGGAGUCCCAAAUCCCAGCUGCGCAGAGCAAGGAUCAGAGUGCUAAUAAUAUGACUGUAAUGAUACAUGAGGGAGUCUUUUCCUGGUCUCAGAGAGUUCAGCAUUCCUUCAGAGAAAGCAGCUUCUCAGUCCCAAGCACCAUGUACACCUCUGGCUGGCUGCAGCGGCUGCUUUGUUACAUGGACUGUUUUCUUAUUUGGGGUGCGUGGGUGAGUAUGGCGGGGGAGAGACAUGUUUUAGGCACUGUUUAUCUGCACCCCUCCCAUAUCCAGAGGCUAGAGUCAGGUAGAAAAAGCAUUUGGUGUUGGGGCGACUGUCAAGAGCGAAUCUUGAUUGACAAAUUGGGGCCCCAACGGAGCUCAUUAAACCCAACCUCAGUUCUCUCCUGGGAAGCCUGAAUACUAGACCCCUGUUUUUCUGCUAUUAGAAUAUUUUGACUCCUCCGUUGAUCAAUUGAAUGUGCCUUUUCUUUUUUCCCCUCCAGUAUUAAUUCAGUUUGGAGUCGCAGAUGAUUUUCCUGCUAAUGAAGAAACACUGCAUGCGGUCAUCAGGAAAGGUGAGGCCGCCUUUGCUAGAAGACCUCAGGCAGAAUACAGCGUGAUUAUUCAUGAAGACCUCUGUGCCUGAAAAUACCCUUCUUGCCUUCUCUCCAGCGGGUCUCUUUCAUCCUAUCGCUUGUCAAUUGCAUUUUAUUUUUUAACAUGAACAAAAACUUAGAAAACUACAUGAAGAAAUGAAGAACAAUGCAAGCCGGUUUCAUUUCAAAAUAAUUUUGGGUAACAUUCAUUCUGGCUGCUAGCAGCAAGCAUAGCAGGGGGUUGGACUAGUUGACCCUAUGAUUCUGUGAAAUGGGCUACCACCAGACGGCAUUUAGUUCACACAAGAAAGCAAAGGCAACUGUAUUGGCCUACACAAAAGAUUCUAAAAUCCACAGGAGGAUAAUACCUUUAUUAGUCUAAUCAAGAUGUUGUGAGAUCAAGAGCCAGGAAGAAGCAGCACAUAGUUAAUGCAGCGUAUAGUUGAACUUUGGAAUUCACUGCCACAUGAGGCAGUGAUGCUCACCAAUUUAGAUGGGUUUAGGAUUAGGCAAGUUCAUGAAGGAUAAGGUUCUCAAUGGCUACUAGCCACAGCUGGAGAAAUCCCAGUUUCUGGAAACCAUACAGUGGGAGGGGACAGUGCUCUUGUGCUUGGGUUCCUGUUUGCAGGUUUCCCACAGGCAUCUGGUUGGCCACCAAGAGGACGGGAUCCUGCACUAGGUGGGCCGUUGGCCUGAUCCAUCAGACUCUUAAGUUCUUGUGUUUUCAUACAGCAAAUGGCUAUGGGGUCUUGCCCAAACACCAGUUCACGGUACUUACCAAAGCUCGAACACAAGGCCGUAGCUGGGUGGUCCGGAGUAAGGGAUUGUGGGAAAGGGUCCACAUUAGCCCUUAUGGAAGAGGAAAAUCUCAAUGCACACACUUUCUCUCUCACACACGCAUGCACAGUUCAAGCCCAGUUCUCCAGUGAAGAUAGUUCAGUGGCUUCCUGCUCCUGGUCUUCCUUAUAUUCCUCACAUAUUGCAAGCACAGUGAAGAUCAUGAAGUGUGCAGGAAUAUCUAGACUGACUAAUCCUGUAAGCAAUUAAUACUACAGUGAGGGGGGAAAGUAUUUGAUCCCCUGCUAAAUUUGCCCAUUUGCUCUCUGACAAAGAAAUGACCAGCCCAUAAUUUUAAUGGUAGGUUUAUUGUAGCUGUGAGAGACAGAAUAACUAUCACUAUCACUAUCUGGAACAACGGCAAAAAGAGAACUCAAAACAAAAGCUCGUUCACUAUUUUGUGACGUUUUAGUUGGCCUAAUAAAAAGCACUGUCCUAUU